CAAGCCAAAACGGGGGAAAGGGGUUCCCCCAAGGGCCGCCGGAAAAAGGUGGCUUUUCCUUUGUGUAAUAAGCCGUGGGAAUAAGGGGGGGGCAAGACUGGUGUCAGCCGCCGCGGUAACACCAGCCCCCCGAGUGGUGGGGAUGCUUAUUUGGCCUAAAGCGUCCGUAGCCUGCUCGGUAAAUCUCUCGUUAAAUCCAACGUCCUAAGCGUUGGGCUGCGAGGGAGACUGCUGAGCUAGAGGGUGGGAGAGGUCAGCGGUAUUUCUGGGGUAGGGGCGAAAUCCAUUGAUCCCAGGAGGACCACCAGUGGCGAAGGCUGCUGACUAGAACACGCCUGACGGUGAGGGACGAAAGCUGGGGUAGCGAAUCGGAUUAGAUACCCGAGUAGUCCCAGCCGUAAACGAUGCAGGUUAGGUGUUGGGUUGGCCACGUGCCGACUCAGUGCCACAGGGAGGCCAUUAAACCUGCCGCCUGGGGAGUACGGCCGCAAGGCUGAAACUUAAAGGAAUUGGCGGGAGA
rnacentral:rRNA from 1 species